rnacentral:rRNA from 1 species
UACGUAGGGUGCAAGCGUUAAUCGGAAUUACUGGGCGUAAAGCGUGCGCAGGCGGUUUUGUAAGCCAGAUGUGAAAUCCCCGGGCUUAACCUGGGAAUGGCAUUUGGGACUGCAAAGCUUGAGUGCGGCAGAGGAGACUGGAAUUCCUGGUAUAGCGGUGAAAUGCGCAGAUAUCAGGAGGAACACCGGUGGCGAAGGCGGGUCUCUGGGCCGAUGAUUGACGCUGAGGAGCGAAAGCGUGGGGAGCAAACAGG